UACGUAGGGGGCGAGCGUUGUCCGGAGUUACUGAGCGUAAAGGGCAUGCAGGCGGUCGGACGCGUUUCGGGUGACAGCGGGUGGCUUAACUACCCGAGUGGUCGAAAGACGGUUUGACUUGAGGACGCGAGAGGGACACGGAAUUCCGGGUGGAGUGGUGAAAUGCGUAGAGAUCCGGAGGAACACCGAAGGCGAAGGCAGUGUCCUGGCGCGUAACUGACGCUGAGGUGCGAAAGCCAGGGGAGCGAACGGG
rnacentral:rRNA from 1 species